UAUUGGUAAUUUCCAAAGUGCCCCUCCAAAACAGAUUUGGUUUAUUUCAGUACCAUAUGAAAGAUCAUCGAAAAAAACAUGGGAGAUGAUAAUAAUUCCAAAUCAAAUGCUCUAAUUGUUGUGCAAUUUGCUUUCAAAACAUUAUAUAAAAGUGUUUGACGUCCGGACAUCACUUUUGACUUUCGACGGUUUAUUUUUUGAAUUUACGUGUUUAGCUCCCUCUAUGUCAUUUAACAACCAGCGUAUUUACAACGAGUGUUUGAGUUCGUUGUAGCUAGCAGGCGGGUAUCCGACCGCGCGCUAGUAAUACAGUACAGCUGAUCAAUUCCAAUACGCUGCUUUCACGUAAAGUAUAACACACACAGCUCAGAUCAGAUUAUCACCGGCGCCGAUCGAACGCUAGACAGCUACAGACAAGCUUUGAUUGAAAUACGAUAACGAGAUCGAGAUUGGAAAAGGAGCUCGAGGUCACGGACGAUGGCCGACUCGGACUCAGCUAGUGCUAAGCCUAAGGACAAGGCUAAGGCUACGCUAAAUCGGAAUAAGACUAAGUAAGACGG